GACGAACGCUGGCGGCGUGCUUAACACAUGCAAGUCGAACGGAAAGGCCCUGCUUUUGUGGGGUGCUCGAGUGGCGAACGGGUGAGUAACACGUGAGUAACCUGCCCUUGACUUUGUGAUAACUUCAGGAAACUGGGGCUAAUACCGGAUAGGAGCUCCUGCUGCAUGGUGGGGGUUGGAAAGUUUCGGCGGUUGGGGCUGGAAUCGCGGCUUAUCAGCUUGUUGGUGGGGUAGGGGCUUACCAAGGCUUUGACGGGUAGCCGGCCUGAGAGGGUGACCGGCCACAUUGGUACUGAGAUACGGCCCAGACUCCUACGGGAGGCAGCAGUGGGGAAUAUGGCACAAUGGGCGGAAGCCUGAUGCAGCAACGCCGCGUGCGGGAUGACGGCCUUCGGGUUGUAAACCGCUUUCGCCUGUGACGAAGCGUGAGUGACGGUAAUGGGUAAAGAAGCACCGGCUAACUACGUG
rnacentral:rRNA from 1 species